UUUUAUGCUGUUAGGAUCUUUCUUGGUCUCAUCUCUAUUAUUACUGAAACCAUUCUGGUUUAUGCUUUGUCAAGAAAGUAUGGAAAAUGUCUUGCCUCAUAUACUUGCCAUGCUAUGCUUAACCAGCGGUUGUUUCUUUGCUAGUACAAGUUUCUUGCCAAGUUCGUUCUCUAUGUAUGCUGUGACUGGUAUAAAGAAGGCCAUGCCGCACAAUAUAUAUAUAUAUAUAUAUAUAUAUAUAUAUAUAUAUGACAGUGGAAAGAAACACAAGAUAUUCCCUUGAAGUGGAAAUGCAGUGUGUGGGGAAUUAUGCAGAAGGCAAUUAUGUGAUGUCCUGAACCUCAACACAUGUACAAUGAUGUAUAAACACCAAGAAAAUACAUGAUCAAGUUCUUG